GGACACACUAUGUGCCAGGUACUGUGCUAAAUGAUGGGGCUGCAGAAAUCAAAGCAAAAAGCAAAUGUGUGGCCCUCAGGAGCCUGUGGUCUACUGAGGAAGACAAAAAGUCAAACUGUGAAUGACAACACAGUGCCAGCACUCCACGGCGAAGACCACAAGGGUGCUGUGGAAUUACACCAGAGGAGCAGCGCCUAACUUAGACUAGAGAGAGGACAGUUAUUAGAGAGAUGGUCAGAAAAAGCUGCUCAGAGGAGAUUCUGUCCAAAAUGAGUCUUGUAGGCUGGGUAGGUAAGUCAAGUGAAGGAGAAGGCUAUGCAAACAGAGAAAGCAACAACAGCAAAGAGAAAGAGCAGGGGUUAGCACAGAUGGAACUCACAGAACACUGGGGCUGGGAAAGGUGAAGCCCCAAGCAAACGGUCAACCGCUUGUAAGGAGUUGAGAAUUUAUCCUGAAGGUGACAGCGGGCCAGGGAAGAAAUUUCAGAAUGCAAGACCAUCAAGGCAAGGAUGUUAAUUUUCUUCAAUGAGGUAUCUCCUGUGUCUGGAAUGAUAUAAGGCUCAUCCCAGAUGAUGAAUGAACAGUGAAUCUGUGGAGCUUCAGCAUCCUCACCUAAGAUGGGAAUAGCUAUGCCCAUCUCCCGAGAUUAUUGUGGAGAUCAGAUGUUAUGCGUACAAAGCACAGGGCAUGAUACCUGAUACACAUCUUGCUCUAUAAAGACUGGUAGAGGAGUGUGUUGUUAUUGUUAUCAAUAUCAUUAUCAUUUUUAUCCAUAAAAUGAAGAUUAUAAAACCUAAGUUGCUGUGAAUAUUGAGACAAAGUAUGAAAAGUACCUGGCAACUGGAGAUGUUUAAUAAACUGGAAUUUAUUUUCUCUUUUCUGCUGGGAUUAAUGCCUGCAAGAGCAGGAUGCCCCAGAGCAAGACACUGUCCAAAGCAAGGCCCCCUGGGCAAUCUCCUUUUCAUUGACACUCCUAUCUCUAACCCUGGAGCCUGCUACAGAGAAUUAAGGUAUCUGCUCAA
rnacentral:lncRNA from 1 species